AUUGUUUGGUGCCUCCAUGGCAAAAGAGGCUGUUGAGAAUACAACUAUUCAGGCUCCCAUGAACUCCUUAAAAGUGUCUGGAGCCCUGCAAGGAAUCAGAGGACCUGAGGAAACACCAGUGCCAAAGCUUUUGUGAGUUCCUUUUAUGGCACCUAUCCAAGAAUAAAAAGUGAACAACAGUGUAUAGCAGCAGUAAUACAGCUACUUGGAGCUCUCUAUGUCAAAACAGGAGGAGGAGAAGUGGGGGAUAGUGAAAGAAGAGGAGGGAAAAAUCACCUCUGCUGAAAAACCAAAGAAAAG